rnacentral:rRNA from 1 species
CAUGCAAGUCGAACGUGCCCGCAAGGGCAAGUGGCGGAAGGGUUAGUAACGCGAUCGAACGUACCCCGAGGUGGAGGAUAGCGGUGGGAAACUGCCGGUAAUACUCCAUGAUCUCUCCGGAGCAAAGGUUUACCGCCUUGGGCUCGGCGAUCGUCCUAUCAGGUAGUUGGCGGGGUAAUGGCCCACCAAGCCGAAGACGGGUAGCGGGUGUGAGAGCACGGCCCGCAACAUCGGAACUGAGACACUGUCCGGACUCCUACGGGAGGCUGCAGUAACGAAUCUUCCGCAAUGGGCGAAAGCCUGACGGAGCAAUGCCGCGUGUGGGAUGAAGCGUCUCUGACGUGUAAACCACUGUCAGGGGUCAGAACCAAUGAUCGACCCCAGAGGAAGUGGCGACUAACUCUGUGCCAGCAGUCGCGGUAAUACAGAGGCCACGAGCGUUAAUCGGAAUCACUGGGCUUAAAGGGUGCGUAGGCGGUCCGGCAAGCGUCUUGUGAAAUCCCACGGCUCAACCGUGGAACAGCAAGGCGAACUGCCGGACUAGAGGCAGGUAUGAGCGGUCGGAACAGUAGGUGGAGCGGUGAAAUGCGUAGAUAUCUACUGGAACGCCGAUGGUGAAGACGGGCCGCUGGGCCUGUCCUGACGCUGAGGCACGAAAGCGUGGGGAGCAAACAGGAUUAGAUACCCUGGUAGUCCACGCCGUAAACGAUGCACACUAGACUGGUGCGGGUCUGACCCCGUAUCAGUCGUAGGAAAACCGAUAAGUGUGCCGCCUGGGAAGUACGGUCGCAAGAUUAAAACUCAAAUGAAUUGACGG